GUACCUAAAUCUUACCCAUUUCUUGCUGCUUCGUGCUGCUGUGGAGACAGAUGGUUCUACGGUAUGAGCAGAGGAAAUCCAGAAAGGUUGCUUUUCAUUUAUCUUGGAGCCUGUCUCUACAGCUCUGCCACAUUU
rnacentral:snoRNA from 12 species